UACGUAGGGUGCUAGCGUUAAUCGGAAUUACUGGGCGUAAAGCGUGCGCAGGCGGUUUUGUAAGCCAGAUGUGAAAUCCCCGGGCUUAACCUGGGAAUGGCAUUUGGGACUGCAAGGCUUGAGUGCGGCAGAGGAGACUGGAAUUCCUGGUGUAGCAGUGAAAUGCGUAGAUAUCAGGAGGAACACCGGUGGCGAAGGCGGGUCUCUGGGCCGAUACUGACACUGAGGAGCGAAAGCGUGGGGAGCGAACAGG
rnacentral:rRNA from 1 species